UACGUAGGGGGCAAGCGUUAUCCGGAUUUACUGGGUGUAAAGGGAGCGUAGACGGCCAGGCAAGUCUGGAGUGAAAGCCCAAAGCUCAACUAUGGGACUGCUCUGGAAACUGUCAGUCUUGAGUACCGGAGAGGUCAUCGGAAUUCCUUGUGUAGCGGUGAAAUGCGUAGAUAUAAGGAAGAACACCAGUGGCGAAGGCGGAUGACUGGACGGCAACUGACGGUGAGGCGCGAAAGCGUGGGGAGCAAACAGG
rnacentral:rRNA from 1 species